rnacentral:rRNA from 1 species
CGUCGAGUGGCGACGGGUGAGUAAUACUUAGGAAUCUGCCCAGUAGUGGGGGACAACUCGGGGAAACUCGAGCUAAUACCGCAUACGCCCUAAGGGGGAAAGCGGGGGAUCUUCGGACCUCGCGCUAUUGGAUGAGCCUAAGUCGGAUUAGCUUGUAGGUAGGGUAACGGCCUACCUAGGCAACGAUCCGUAGCUGGUCUGAGAGGACGAUCAGCCACACUGGGACUGAGACACGGCCCAG